rnacentral:rRNA from 1 species
AUGAAAUACUGGGAUAACUCCGGGAAACCGGGGCUAAUACCGGAUGGUUGUUUGAACCGCAUGGUUCAGACAUAAAAGGUGGCUUCGGCUACCACUUACAGAUGGACCCGCGGCGCAUUAGCUAGUUGGUGAGGUAACGGCUCACCAAGGCRACGAUGCGUAGCCGACCUGAGAGGGUGAUCGGCCACACUGGGACUGAGACACGGCCCAGACUCCUACGGGAGGCAGCAGUAGGGAAUCUUCCGCAAUGGACGAAAGUCUGACGGAGCAACGCCGCGUGAGUGAUGAAGGUUUUCGGAUCGUAAAGCUCUGUUGUUAGGGAAGAACAAGUGCCGUUCAAAUAGGGCGGCACCUUGACGGUACCUAACCAGAAAGCCACGGCUAACUACGUGCCAGCAGCCGCGGUAAUACGUAGGUGGCAAGCGUUGUCCGGAAUUAUUGGGCGUAAAGGGCUCGCAGGCGGUUUCUUAAGUCUGAUGUGAAAGCCCCCGGCUCAACCGGGGAGGGUCAUUGGAAACUGGGGAACUUGAGUGCAGAAGAGGAGAGUGGAAUUCCACGUGUAGCGGUGAAAUGCGUAGAGAUGUGGAGGAACACCAGUGGCGAAGGCGACUCUCUGGUCUGUAACUGACGCUGAGGAGCGAAAGCGUGGGGAGCGAACAGGAUUAGAUACCCUGGUAGUCCACGCCGUAAACGAUGAGUGCUAAGUGUUAGGGGGUUUCCGCCCCUUAGUGCUGCAGCUAACGCAUUAAGCACUCCGCCUGGGGAGUACGGUCGCAAGACUGAAACUCAAAGGAAUUGACGGGGGCCCGCACAAGCGGUGGAGCAUGUGGUUUAAUUCGAAGCAACGCGAAGAACCUUACCAGGUCUUGACAUCCUYUGACAAUCCUAGAGAUAGGACGUCCCCUUCGGGGGCAGAGUGACAGGUGGUGCAUGGUUGUCGUCAGCUCGUGUCGUGAGAUGUUGGGUUAAGUCCCGCAACGAGCGCAACCCUUGAUCUUAGUUGCCAGCAUUCAGUUGGGCACUCUAAGGUGACUGCCGGUGACAAACCGGAGGAAGGUGGGGAUGACGUCAAAUCAUCAUGCCCCUUAUGACCUGGGCUACACACGUGCUACAAUGGACAGAACAAAGGGCAGCGAAACCGCGAGGUUAAGCCAAUCCCACAAAUCUGUUCUCAGUUCGGAUCGCAGUCUGCAACUCGACUGCGUGAAGCAGGAAUCUUUAG